UAAUUUUUAUGGAAAAGCCAUAUGGUAUACGUAAGAAGAUGAAUAUUUUGACGGGUAGGAUGGUUUAUGCUGAACUGGUGGUUGGUGGUGACUACUCGUUAUUUUCUCGGAGAAAUGCGUUGUGUAACCUACCUAGUCUGGGUCUAGAAAUAUUCAGCAGAUAUACAAGCAUGAUAACAAGGACAUCCAUUGAGUCUUGCAGGAAAAUUCUUGAUGAAACAAGGAUAAUCAUUGGUGAGGAAUAUGCCAAAUGUGGGAUUUUACCAGACGCACGUGGUGUUCGUGACAUUGACGUGACGUAUGACGGCACCUGGCACACGAGGGCCAUCAUUCUAAUUUUGGCAUUGGUGUGGCCAUUGAUGCCUUAACAAAGCUAGCAGUGGACAAGAAGAUGCAGACUGUCAGAACCUAAGUAUGCAAGAGGAGGAAGAGGGCGGUGGACACCUCCUAUGAGGCUGGAGGCCAUUAGAUGACCCAUGUUCAUACCUACUCUUCGUCAAAGUUUGAUUUGCAUGGACCGUCAUGAUUGGCCAAUCUGCAAGGGACUUCAGGAUGGAGGGAUCUGCAUGGAACUUCAGAGAUAUGUUAUAAAUGCUCAUUUCUACUCCUAAUAAACAUAAGAAGGCACAA